rnacentral:lncRNA from 1 species
UUGAGGAUUUCGUGUUUGAGUUGAUGGAGAACACAUUCCGUUCCUCGACUGUAUUAGAAAACCGCAUGUUUGAGUUGAUGGAGAACAUGUUUCAUUCCUCGACCGUAGUCGAGGAUCAUGUGUUUGAGUUGAUGGAGAAUAUGUUUCAUUUUUCGACCAUAGUCGAGAACCGCAUGUUUGAGUUAGUGGAGAACAUAUUUCAUUCUUCGAUCGUAAUCGAGGACUGCAUGUUUGGGU